rnacentral:rRNA from 1 species
UGGGGAAUUUUGGACAAUGGGGGCAACCCUGAUCCAGCCAUGCCGCGUGUGUGAAGAAGGCCUUCGGGUUGUAAAGCACUUUCGGACGGAACGAAAUCGCGCGGGUUAACAGCCCGCGUGGAUGACGGUACCGUAAGAAGAAGCACCGGCUAACUACGUGCCAGCAGCCGCGGUAAUACGUAGGGUGCGAGCGUUAAUCGGAAUUACUGGGCGUAAAGUGUGCGCAGGUGGCCGCGCAAGUCGAGUGUGAAAUCCCCGGGCUUAACUUGGGAAUUGCGCUCGAAACUACGUGGCUGGAGUGCGGCAGAGGAAGGUGGAAUUCCACGUGUAGCGGUGAAAUGCGUAGAGAUGUGGAGGAACACCAAUGGCGAAGGCAGCCUUCUGGGCCGACACUGACGCUCAUGCACGAAAGCGUGGGGAGCAAACAGGAUUAGAUACCCUGGUAGUCCACGCCCUAAACGAUGACGACUAGUUGUUGGGGGAGUUAAAUCCCUUAGUAACGCAGCUAACGCGUGAAGUCGUCCGCCUGGGGAGUACGGUCGCAAGAUUAA